rnacentral:rRNA from 1 species
AACCUCCGCAAUGUGAGAAAUCGCGACGGGGGGAUCCCAAGUGCCAUUCUUAACGGGAUGGCUUUUCAUUAGUGUAAAGAGCUUUUGGAAUAAGGGCUGGGCAAGACCGGUGCCAGCCGCCGCGGUAACACCGGCAGCUCUAGUGGUAGCCAUUUUUAUUGGGCCUAAAGCGUUCGUAGCCGGUUUGAUAAGUCUCUGGUGAAAUCCUGUAGCUUAACUGUGGGAAUUGCUGGAGAUACUAUUAGACUUGAGGUCGGGAGAGGUUAGCGGUACUCCCAGGGUAGGGGUGAAAUCCUGUAAUCCUGGGAGGACCACCUGUGGCGAAGGCGGCUAACUGGAACGAACCUGACGGUGAGGGACGAAAGCCAGGGGCGCGAACCGGAUUAGAUACCCGGGUAGUCCUGGCCGUAAACGAUGUGGACUUGGUGUUGGGAUGGCUUCGAGCUGUUUCAGUGCCGAAGGGAAGCUGUUAAGUCCACCGCCUGGGAAGUACGGUCGCAAGACUGAAACUUAAAGGAAUU